GGAGGAGGGCGACGGCGCGGAGGGCGCCGCUGCGGCAGGAAGCAAGAUGGCCGCCUCGUGGGCGCCGCUGUGAGGAAUGCGGGGCACCAGCGAGGCCGGCUCCAGGGGGGCGGCCGGGCCUCUCCCCUCGGCGGCGGCGCUGCGUGUCGGGGCGGCAGCGGGGGGGCCGCCUAGGGCCCCAUCAGCCCGCUAAAGUGCUGCACGUAAAGCAUUCUGGGUUCUAACUGAAAACAAAAGACCUCAGAGGAGGAAGCAAAGAGUUUUUAAGGUUCUGCAGAGCCAAGGCUACCAUUUGAAUGGCUGCAGAUGUUUGCUGCGUUGAUGGAGAUUAAAAAAAAAAGAAGAGAUUGUGAGAGAUCCGCAAUAAUAUAUGCAGUGCUAAAUAUCAACAAGUCAAUGGAUGGAAUCGCACUACAGUGGAGUUUUACAGAUGAAGAAGACAGAAUGGUGUAAUAUGAGUUGGAAAGGAUGUUGUCCAGAGAAUACCUGUCUUGCAUUUUGUGUUCCUUAAAGGGAUAUUAUCGCCUUGAAAUCUAUCCUUUUAAAAAAUAUCAAUUAAAAUUGAUUUGAGUACUGGCUGAAAAUGUCUGCCUGUUUCUUUUGUGCCUUUUUGCUAUUUUUUUUGGAUAAAGAAAAGUUCACUUUUGACAUGUGAAUGACGCACACAAAUAAUCCAACUUUAUUUUUAAG
rnacentral:lncRNA from 1 species